CAUUUUUCCACCCAGAGAAAUGACGUGGUCCGUCCCCUCCUCUAUCCAGUUCUCUUUAGUGUUUGCCAAUGUCGGAGGUGUAACUGGGGUCUGGCCCUGGACAAAGGAAUAGAGCAUGGCUCAAGUGAAAGUACAGACCUCAGCACCCCUGGCUGGUCCUGGCCUCUCCCCCGGAGUUCCCCCGAUGGCCAUGGCCAGCCCAGGAUCCCUGGGUCUGCAGCCCUCCGUCAACGGCACAGGCCCGGCCCCCACACCCGCCUGCCCUGCUCCUGCAGUCGGAUAUGGGGACGCCCCUGUGUCUAUCACACCGCCAGGCUCGCCCCAGGAGAACAUGGCAAACCCUAAAGAGAAAACUCCAAUGUGUUUGGUGAAUGAGUUAGCCCGUUUCAAUAGGAUCCAACCACAGUACAAGCUCCUCAAUGAGAGAGGCCCUGCACACGCUAAGAUCUUCACAGUGCAGCUGACUCUGGGGGAGCAGGUGUGGGAGGCGGAGGGCACCAGCAUAAAAAAGGCCCAACACUCCACAGCAGCCAAAGCACUGGACGAGAGUGUCCUCCCCAGGCCUGCGCCCCGCUCCCCUAAAGUGGACAUCAACAGUAACCCAGGCAGUAUAACACCCACAGUGGAGCUGAACGGUCUGGCCAUGAAGAGAGGAGAGCCAGCUAUAUAUAGGCCUUUGGAUCCUAAGCCCAUGCCCAACUACAGAGCAAACUACAACUUCAGAGGGAUGUUCAACCAAAGGUACCAUUAUCCUGUUCCUAAGAUCUUUUAUGUGCAACUGUCAGUGGGGACUAAUGAGUUUAUUGGCGAGGGACGCACCCGCCAAGCAGCCCGACACAGCGCUGCCAUGAAGGCCCUGCAAGCCCUGCGCAAUGAACCUAUUCCAGAGCGGCCACCACAGAGCCCAGAAGAGAAAGGGGAGAGUGAGGAAGGCACCGAUGCCAGCAAAUCAGAGAUCAGCCUGGUCUAUGAAAUUGCCCUCAAGAGGAAUUUGUCUGUCAACUUUGAGGUGUUGAAGGAGAGCGGCCCCCCGCACAUGAAAAGCUUCCUGACUCGCGUCUCUGUGGGGGAGUUCUCUGCCGAAGGUGAAGGAAAUAGCAAGAAGCUGUCCAAAAAGCGUGCCGCUCUGUCCAUUCUGCAAGACCUGAAAAAGCUGCCCUUCAUCCCCGCCGUGGAGAAACCCAAGACGCAUUACAAGAAACGCACCAAAACCAUCCUCAAGACGGGACCAGACUAUGGCCAGGGCAUGAACCCCAUCAGUCGUCUAGCCCAGAUCCAACAGGCCAAGAAGGAGAGGGAGCCCGAGUACCUGCUGCUCUCAGAGAGGGGGAUGCCCCGACGCCGGGAGUUCAUCAUGCAGGUGAAGGUGAAUAACGAGGUUGCCACAGGAACAGGACCCAACAAGAAAGUGGCCAAGCGGAACGCAGCUGAGGCGAUGCUGCUGCAACUGGGAUACAAGGCCUCUACAGUCCCUCAGAACCCCACCGAGAUGGACAACAAAGGCUGGAACGGACAAAAGGCGUCCUUUACCGAAGCGACAAGUAACACACAGAAAGGUCUGCUCCACCUCAGCCCCGAUGUCUACCAGGAGAUGGAGGCCAGCAGGAAGCAGGGGGGCAGUGCCUCGGGCCCUGGCGGCAGCGGCAACAGCGGCAACUCUGUCAACUACAUACCAUCCAAAGACAUGGGACCCUGCUCUGCCCCGCUGCCCCCAGGACACCCUCCAUACUACAGCGGCUCAGCCUCUUCACCUAGCCCAACUGCUACCAUGGCCAGGGAGCUGCUUCUUAAUGGUCAGUCACCCACUGCUGACGCCUCCCUGCCCAUAAAAGGGAAGAACCCGGCUCUUGCCUGUGGCGUCUCGGUGCAGCCUGCACAGCAGUUGGACUACCUGGCUCGCAUCCAGGGCUUCCAGGUGCAGUACAAUGAUGCGCAGAGUGGUAAGGAUUUUGUGACCUAUCUGACCCUCUCCCCUGUGCAAAUGACUUUCCACGGCACUGGGAGCACCCUCCAAGCCAGCCAUGACCAGGCUGCUCUAAGUGCCUUGAAACAGCUGUCGGAGCAGGGACUGGACCCGGUGGACGGCCCCAUCAAGGUACGGUAGAACACGGAUCUAACUCCACACUCGUGCAGUGUUUUACCAACCGGCCAAUCAGGACCAGUGAACCAUGUGGGAGGGAGGACGGACAUUAAACAGACUAACUCAGGCACCACCACUCAGGUCUGCAAGGAUUCAAAGGCUGUCGUCAAGGAGCUGACAUCCCCGACCCCCCCCCCCUCCUUUCGGCAUACACAAACCUA